ACAACAAACCUAAAUGGUCCUGACUCACAUUAUCACUAACUACUGUAUUCAUAUCCUUAUGUUUGUGCUUCAUGUACACUAACUGUGUUUUUUCCUUCC